GACGAACGCUGGCGGCGUGCCUAACACAUGCAAGUCGAACGGAGUAAAACGCUGAUUUGAUGUUAGCUUGCUAACGGAUUUUCUUGUUUUACUUAGUGGCGGACGGGUGAGCAACGCGUGAGUAACCUGCCUUACAGAGGGGGACAACAGUUGGAAACGACUGCUAAUACCGCAUAACAUAUUUUGAGGGCAUCCUCGGAAUAUCAAAGGAGCAAUCCGCUGUAAGAUGGACUCGCGUCCAAUUAGAUAGUUGGUGGGGUAACGGCCCACCAAGUCGACGAUUGGUAGCCGGACUGAGAGGUUGAACGGCCACAUUGGGACUGAGACACGGCCCAGACUCCUACGGGAGGCAGCAGUGGGGGAUAUUGCACAAUGGAGGAAACUCUGAUGCAGCAACGCCGCGUGAGGGAAGAAGGUUUUCGGAUUGUAAACCUUUGUUUUUAGUGAAGAAACAAAUGACGGUAGCUAAAGAGGAAGCCACGGCUAACUACGUGCCAGCAGCCGCGGUAAGAC
rnacentral:rRNA from 1 species